rnacentral:rRNA from 1 species
UGUCAGCCGCCGCGGUAAUACGUAGGAUGCAAGCGUUGUUCGGAAUUACUGGGCGUAAAGAGUACGUAGGCGGCAAUGUAAGUCUAAUAUUAAAGACUGGAGCUCAACUUCAGGAGUGUAUUGGAAACUACAUAGCUAGAGGAUAGUAGAGGAAGUCGGAAUUCCAAGUGUAGCGGUGAAAUGCGUAGAUAUUUGGAAGAACACCAGUUGCGAAAGCGGACUUCUGGGCUAUUACUGACGCUGAGGUACGAAAGCGUGGGGAGCAAACAGGAUUAGAUACCCUGGUAGUCCACGCGGUAAACGAUGGAUACUAGGUGUAACUGGCUUCGACCCCAGUUGUGCCGUAGCUAACGCAUUAAGUAUCCCGCCUGGGGAGUAUGGCCGCAAGGUUGAAACUCAAAGAAAUUGACGG